AAAGUAGAAAAUCAUAUUAAUGUAUAGUAUUUUUUACAUCUUGAGUUUGAAAGAGCGAUAUGAGUAUGUGUAAUAUUAAAGCGGGCCCUUAAGGGUUAAUGAAGUACAUUUCACUGAACUCGCUCAAUUCACUCAUUCACAGGAGGUUCACAUCCCUCGUCUCAUCACCCCGGCUGAGAAGGGCCGAGACCUGGAGCCCAGAGCCAUCGAUGCGUAUAUCAUCCAGUGCCAGGCGGAGGCACAAGAAGUGACAAUUGCCAGAGCGAUUGAACUGAAGCACAACGCCACGCUCAUCGCAGCACUGGCAUUUGAGACGGCAAACUUCUAUCAAAAGGCUGACCACACACUGAACACUCUGGAGCCGGAGUGCAGCAACAAAUGGAGGAAGUACCUUCAGCUGAAGCAGCACUUUUACAUGGCUUAUGUAAGUUCACGCACAUCCUAAAGCACUUCACUCUGCCUCCGUUUGUGUAAAG